UGUCCUGGCCUCUUUUGCGGUGAGGAAUCUGAAGGUUGGCCUCUGACUGAGUUGAGGUGAAGGGAGGAUGGGCUUUUGAGUGUUGAGGGUACAGGAGGACAGGGCUACAGAGUUUUCCAGAAGAGUAAUACAAAUAUGGAGGAGACCAGAGGAAGCUUAGGGAGCAGUUUCUUGCCUGUCAAAUUUGUGUACAUUGAUAUUGGAUAUAUCUUUCCUUCCGGUUCCGGCGCAGACAAGAGUGGCAGCAUGGCGAGAUAAAAGAAGCAAUGCAAAUGGCCCUGGAGCCACUGCUAUUGUGGGUUUGAAUAAAAGGCGCUUGAUAGAAGCCAGCUUCCUCUAAAAAAGAGGACAGUGACCCGGAGCACAGAUCCAAGAGUGAAUUGAUGCAAACUGAUGGCGUUCCGAUUACCACUAAGAGCCAGGCUGCUCAUGGGCCGGGUGUGACCAGACCCUCCUUCACCCUAUACCUCCGGCUGCCCUGAUAGCAGGUAUUGAUGCCUGGCCAUUGUGUCUGUGCACCACAGGAGUGGUAGUUUUUUUGGGGGGAAAGAGGAGCACGCCCCGGGGGACAACAGCUUUUAUCGAUUUAUUCUCUUCUUUGGUUUGUCACGCUAGCAUGACUGCCAGACCCCUGGAAGCAGCAGCAGCUCUUCCUCUCUGCCCUGGCUGCCACACACAGAUAUGAAAAGCCUGAGUACAAAACAAUGGGGCGAUGAUGAGUAGGAGAUGCCUGAAAAGGAAAGAAGAAGCUUGCGUGCCAAACCAGAGGUGGUUACUUUUGCACACUUGACUUUACAGAGAUAUGUGGUCGAACGGGGACAUUAUGGAGGACUUUGGAAAACUGUAUGUCAGAUAUUCAGUACAAUGUUAGUCAGUACAAUGUUAUAAGUCCACAAAUGUCAAACAUUUAGGAUGGUUGGGAUAACAGGAUUGUAAGUCUGAACUGAUGGAGAGGUUUCAGCAGUAUGCUUUUACAACAGUUUCAUAAUUUGUGUUUAGAUCUGGAGAGAAAUGUUUAGCCAUAUUCAGCCUCAUGGAUUCUAGAAUAUUCUGAAGCUAUUUCCAACAAAUGCGUUUUAUCACUCACUGACUAAUUACCCGUCGUGACUGACAAGCAGUCUUUUUUAAUUUCCCUGUUCUGAUCCAACAGUGGGUGUAAGUGUGGACUGUAGAUGCUGUCUUGGUAAGCCAAUCAUCCUUGUCUUCUUGCUUUGAACAUGUACUCACACUUUUCAAUGCCAUAUGCAAUUUAACUUUCACUUGAUUAAACACCAACACCACUUGAAACUGUGGAUUGUUAAAAUCUU